UAUAAUAGCUUUUAGAGACUUAUCCCUUGUAGGAAAUCUUUGAGAGAGUGCACGCUAGCUGGAAAGUGCAUAGAGGAUACGAGCGGACACUACUCAGUACUAUUUUAUGCAAACAUAAAAGGGUGGUUCCCUUAUCACUAUUUCGAGGUCAAGGACAUCUUUUUUGUGCUUGAUAAAUGAAGGUGGAACCACGUUACGACGUCCUUUUA
rnacentral:ncRNA from 1 species